AACGAACGCUGGCGGCAUGCCUAACACAUGCAAGUCGAACGAGACCUUCGGGUCUAGUGGCGCACGGGUGCGUAACGCGUGGGGAUCUGCCCUUUGCUUCGGAAUAACAGUUAGAAAUGACUGCUAAUACCGGAUGAUGACUUCGGUCCAAAGAUUUAUCGGCAAAGGAUGAACCCGCGUAGGAUUAGCUAGUUGGUGGGUAAAGGCCUACCAAGGCGACGAUCCUUAGCUGGUCUGAGAGGAUGAUCAGCCACACUGGGACUGAGACGCGGCCCAGACUCCUACGGGAGGCAGCAGUGGGGAAUAUUGGACAAUGGGCGAAAGCCUGAUCCAGCAAUGCCGCGUGAGUGAUGAAGGCCUUAGGUGUAAGCUCUUUACCCGGGAUGAUAAUGACGUACGGACGG
rnacentral:rRNA from 1 species